GAACGCUGGCGGCAUGCCUAAUACAUGCAAGUCGAACGCACGAAGUUGAAAAGCUUGCUUUUCGACCAAGUGAGUGGCGGACGGGUGAGUAACACGUGGGUAACCUGCCCAUAAGAGGGGGAUAACAUCCGGAAACGGAUGCUAAUACCGCAUAGUUUCAAGUGACCGCAUGGUCGCUUGAUGAAAGGUGGCUUCGGCUACCGCUUAUGGAUGGACCCGCGGUGCAUUAGUUAGUUGGUGAGGUAAUGGCUCACCAAGACAAUGAUGCAUAGCCGACCUGAGAGGGUGAUCGGCCACACUGGGACUGAGACACGGCCCAGACUCCUACGGGAGGCAGCAGUAGGGAAUCUUCCGCAAUGGACGAAAGUCUGACGGAGCAAUGCCGCGUGAGUGAAGAAGGUUUUCGGAUCGUAAAACUCUGUUGUUAGAGAAGAACAAGGAUGAGAGUAACUGCUCAUCCCCUGACGGUAUCUAACCAGAAAGCCACGGCUAACUACGUGCCAGCAGCCGCGGUAAUACGUAGGUGGCAAGCGUUGUCCGGAUUUAUUGGGCGUAAAGCGAGCGCAGGCGGUUCUUUAAGUCUGAUGUGAAAGCCCCCGGCUCAACCGGGGAGGGUCAUUGGAAACUGGAGAACUUGAGUGCAGAAGAGGAGAGUGGAAUUCCAUGUGUAGCGGUGAAAUGCGUAGAUAUAUGGAGGAACACCAGUGGCGAAGGCGACUCUCUGGUCUGUAACUGACGCUGAGGCUCGAAAGCGU
rnacentral:rRNA from 1 species